CUGUUAUCAAUUAAUCAAAUUCUAUAAUUUUUUUCCUCUUAAUUUUUUGCUUUCUUUUCAAUGAAUGGUAAAUAAUCGAGACGAUGUGUGAAUAAUUUAUUUUUCGAUAUUUAUUAUUGAGACUGUAACUACUUUGAAUUUUUAAUCAAUUCCAGGAAAAUUAUGAACGUAUUGUCUCAGAUUCUUCAAGAUGUAAAAUGAGAUCUUCAGAAGAAAAUAAUCAGGCAAUUAAACAAAUGAAACAUGGACAAUGUGAUUGUAUCAAACCAAAAUCAAGAAAGAAAACGAUAGAACAGAAUGAACAAACGAGGGAAUCUAAAUGUGAUACCAAACAACCGAAAUCAAAGAAGACAACGCUUAAACAAAAUGAACAAACAAGAGAAUGCGAUUCGAAAAUAGCGAAAUCAAGAAAGCCUACGACAAAACAGAAUGAACAAACGAAAGAAACACAGUGUGAUUCGAAAAAAACAAAAUCAAGAGACACAAAGAGAAAACAAAAUAACAAAACGAAAGAAACACAAUGAUAUUCUCAAAUAUCCAAUUCGAAAAAUUUCAUUGAUGCCUAUUCAGAAAUAAAAACCGAUCUUGAGUUAAAAAGAUAUUGGCAGAAACGGUUUCAUCUUUUCAGUCGAUUCAACCAAGGAAUUCAACUUGACAAAGAAAGUUGGUACUUUGUCACUCCUGAAUCGAUUGCCAAGAAAACUGCAGAAAUAUGCAAAACUAAUGUAAUAGUUGAUGGAUUUUGUGGUGCUGGAGGGAAUUCCAUACAGUUUGCCUUCACAUGUAAAAAAGUGAUCGCAAUCGACAUUGAUCCUAAGAAAAUUGAACUAGCCAAGAUCAAUGCAGGAAUUUAUGGUGUCUCGAAGAAAAUAAAAUUCAUUGUUGGUUACUUUAUUAAAUUAGCUCCAAUGCUGAAAGCAGAUGCGGUUUUUCUGAGUCCACCAUAGGGAGGUCCAUCUUAUAUGAAGGAAAGGGCUUAUGACCUAGAAAAAAUGUUGAAGCCUGUAUCAUUCUCAACAUUGAUGAAUGUCAGCAUGAAUAUUUCUCCUAACAUUGCAGUUUUUCUUCCGAGAAAUGUCGAUACCAACGAUAUGGGACAAUACCUAGGACGACAUCAAAAUAUUGAAAAGUAAUGUGCCAUAAAAUAACAGCAAAAACAUUUUAUUAUAAUGGACUUGCAGAAAAAUAUAAAAUGUAUACCUAUAAAUAAAUUAAUGUGAUGCAAUAAUAUA